GGUACGCCGUCGCCGGGGUCUUCGUCGCCCGCGUUGACGGGGCGGUUCGCGUCGCCGUCACCGGUGCCGGGCCGGGGGUGUUCCG
rnacentral:tRNA from 1 species